AUUAGGAUCCGCUAAUUUUACCUGAAACUAGACUCAUAUACCUUGUUACCAUAAAAUUUUCAGAAUUUUUGCUUCCACCAAUAAGUACAGUUUAUUGUUUAAAGUCACAUUUGUUCUGCUGUCUGACAAUUCCGACCCUUCUUCACUAAAAAUUAAUUAUCUCUUUGUUCAGAAUUCAGAUUAUGCCCCCAUUUGUUUCUGUUGAAAAUAGACUAAUUAAGGAUUUUAAAAAUAUAAAUUAUAACCCAUAACUAUUUUUUUACAAUUUUUAAUGAUUUUUCCAAGUCAGAACAGGGGAACCCGAAUUCAAUCUGACCUUGUCUCACAAAAUUUAUUAUAUCUCAUAAUUUACAAUUCCAUUACUUACACCGUUUCUUUUAUGAGAAACUAGACUCAAUAAGCUUUAAUUACAUAUUUUAUUCAUACUCUAAUUAGAUUUUCAUAAUUGAUGGUGAUUUUUCAAAGUGAGCCCACUGUUACUGGCCAAAACCAUUUUAGUGCAAGAUGUUUAUUACCAUGUUUAUAACACCCUUAUUUUCUUUCUCUACACUAUUUCUCAUCACUUUCUCUUAUUUUCUCUUCACUAACAUAUCAAUAAAAUAGGACCAUAUAUACAAAAACUUUACAUUAACAUCAUUUCCAUGCUUUUUCAAUAAUAUCAAACUUAAAAAUAUAUUAAAAUCUUGAUGUACUUACCUUGUCAUAUUGAUUUCAAUCUUUAACUUGAUUUUCUCUCUCCUCCGCUUCUAUUUCUUGAAUCUAACUUGAUAUUCUAGCUCCCCAUAGUCUCCUUGUUAUCUUUCUCUCUUGAUGGAUAUGAAAAUUCUUUUGAUUUCUAGAUAAAAAUGAUGAAUUUUUGGUGGAAGGACUAAAUUGUAAAGAAAGUAAAACUUUCUUUCUUCUCUUCUCUUCUAACGUGAAUUGCAUGGAAAAGAUGGUGGGUUGGAUCCUUCUCAUCUUUAUUUCCACACACAUAUAUAUAUAUAUAUACUAAAUAUUAAAAUAAUAACAUAUCAUUUAAUAUACUAAAUAUCCUUCACUUUUACGAUUUAAUCCUUUCUUGAACUAAUAUGUCAUAAUAUACGACCCAAUGUUGACAUAACUCCAAAAUUUCCUAUUUUUGACGCUUUAUUUUCUUAUUUUAUUAUAUCAAAUAUAAUAUCUUACUGUAAAGAUUUUCGGGGUAUUACACUUUUGCUAUCGGUACUGUUGCCAUCAUCACUACGUCCCUCCUCAUCUUCUUCAUGGUUUCCCUCACCAUUGCCCUUUCCGUUAGGCUUAGACGCCUCGAGCUUGUCUCCUCUUGAACCAAGCUCAACAAAGGACUCUGUUUCUACCAUGGCUACAGUAAGUUCAAUGAUUCCUUUCCUUCGCAACUCCUGCUUUGCCCACGGCUUUAACCCAUCCUCGAACCAAUAGAAUGCUUCUUUCUCGCUCAAGUCGGAGAUUUGAAGCAUCAACUCGCUAAAUGUCCGAACAUACUCCCGAACAGUGCCUUGUUGCGUGAGACGACGCAACUUUGCACGAGCCUCCUUCUUGGCAAACUGAGGGUAAAACUGCUUCUUCAAAUCUCUUUGGAACUCCUCCCAAGUCCCAAUUGCGUUCCCACCACGUUUCUCAUCCGUGGACCUACGACGCCACCACAAGAGAGCUACAUCAGUAAAAUAGAUUGAAGCUGUAUUUACCUUAAUGGCGUCAUCCUCGAUGCCCAUCGCUUAGAAAUAUUGCUCCAUUUCCCACAAGAAGUUGUCCACAUCCCUUGCGGAUCGUGCACCCUUAAACUUUUCUGGUGGGAACAUCCAUUGCUUGUUGUUUCGGUCUUGAAGACAACAUCCCAUUACUCAAAGCGGCUUUGUAGAUCGCGAGCUCCCCUUUGAGCUCCUCUAUUUCUUUCUUCAUGGCUAACACCAUAUCCUCGAGAUACUCAUCCCUCUCUGCCAGCUUUCCCGCAGUGGACUCAAGUAAAUCAUUCAUCUUUUCCUUAUUGGCAUCGAGAGAAUCCAACACAAAAUCUCUGAGUUGCUCCUCCAUUGAGUCAAACCCAUCCGUGCGUCCCUCGACCAAUUCAAGCGUCUCUUUCACGUUCCCGAUGGAUUCCUCGAGAUUCACCACUCGAUUUUCCAAAGCUGUCAGCAUUUCCCUCGAGCGACUGGAUUUUCUGGCCCUCCCACGGGUCUCCAUUGGUUCACUCUAACCGAUGACUUCUUUCGACAUCCCAACGGUGCCUUCGAACCAACUCGAAUAUCACUUGGUUCAAAACCUGCUCGGAUACCACUUGUCACGGGGCUAGACCUUUCGUCUGCAAUCCGUGCCGCCUUAGGCAAUCUGUUCGUCCAAGCUCGCCCAAGUCAGCCUUAACACCCAAAAGUGAGGAUUCUUUUAAAGAACUCCUCCAAGGCACCGAUUUGUAUAGCGGAAGCGAUUUAGCCAAAAAAAGCCACAAAAGAAAAACAGAAAGCUAAAGAAAGAAUGCAAACAAAGUGUUUGAGUAAAUGCCCAGGAAUUCUAUUACUCUUAAGAAUUCACCUUACAAGGGAUGAUUACAAAUGAGGGGGAGGCUCUCUAUUUAUAGUUGAGCUCCCCCAAAACCGACGGUCAAGAUACAUUUACAUCGACGGACGAGAUUCAUUAUGUCCCUUGAUGUUAGGGAUUUACAUGAUUUGCCAUAUCAAAUCUAAUCUAAUGUUUACAAGAUAUGAUUCUCUCUAUCUUUUAAGAUUAGUUACCAAAAUUAGCCUAAGUUGCCAUGUCUUCAUCAUUGGGCCAACCAGGCUUCAAUCUGACAGGCUUCUCCAAUAAUUCCUUGAAUCAGGCCAGUUCUCGUGGGCUAAAUGUUCCCCAUCUUAUCAAUGGACCUCCAUGGGGCACUUCUUGUGCCAUGGUCACGGGCUUUGCACUUUGCCCCGUGACAUAUGCAGCCACUUAUUGAAGAGUUGAAACAAUUAUGGGCAGGUGUAGAAACAUAUGAUGGCUUAAAAAAGGAGAACUUUUAUUUACGUGCAACUUUGUUGUGGACUAUUAAUGAUUUUUUGGCUUAUGCCAAUUUAUCUGGUUGGAGUACCAAAGGGUGUUAUGCUUGUCCUUGUUAUGUGGCGCAAACAUGUUCGAAGUGGUUAUAUAAUGGGAAAAAGUUAUCUUAUAUGGGGCAUCAUCGGUGGUUAGAUGGAAAUUAUAGAUUUAGAUUUCAGAGGACUUUAUUUGAUGGUACUGAAGAGUUCAGAGAAGCUCCUAAGCAAACCAUUAGAUCUGAAAUCUUGCUUAUGUUAAAAGAUAUCAAUUUCAGUUAUGGAAAGAUGGAUCAACCACCCAACACGCAAACAAAUAGAAGACCGAGGGAGGUGUAUGUUGGCGAUGUUGACCGGCAGAUUGAUGAUGAAUCUGCUGAAGAGGAUGAUCCUAAUGAGGCGGACUUGUGGAAAAAGAAGAAGUAUUUUUUUAGUUACCUUAUUGGGAGCAUCACAUUUUACGACAUAAUCUUGAUGUCAUACAUAUUGAAAAGAAUGUUUGCGAGAACAUCAUUGGGACAAUUCUGAAUGUCGAUAGAAAAGAGAAAGACAAUCUUCAGAGUCUACUUGAUCUAGUUGACAUGGGAAUUCGAUGUUAUCUUCAUCCCUAAGCACUUCUGAAUGAGAAAUAUCAGUUAACACCUUCUAUUUUUGCAAUGUCGAAGAAAGAAAAAGAAGUGUUCUGUACGGUGUUGAAAGAUAUAAAGGUCCCAGAUGCGUAUGCAUCAAAUAUAUCUCGAUGUGUGAGUCUUAAAGAUCGAAGACUAUAUUCCCUAAAAUCACAUGAUUAUCACAUCUUGAUGCAAGAUUUACUGCUAGUUGCUUUACAGUGUUGUAUGUAAAAAAAGGUGACGUCUUGUAUAAUUGAACUAUCUAAUAUAAUGAAAGCUAUUUGUGGCAAAGUUUUAAUUGUUGAAGAACUUGCGAAAGUACAAGAUCGAGCCGCAUUGACUUUAUGCAAUUUGGAGAAGAUCUUUCUACCUUAUUUCUUCACUAUUAUGGUGCACUUGCUAAUUCAUUUCACUCAUGAAGCAAAACUUGGUAGACCGGUUUUCUAUCAGUGGAUGUAUCCUAUAGAGAGGUGCUAAUUUAUUUGUAAAGUUUUCAUUCAUUCAUGAAUAUACCUUUAGUUACAACUUUUGAUAAUGUUGUAUAUCAUGUUUAGGUUCCUAUGCCAAUUGAAGUCUUAUUGUUGUAAUAAUCGUUACCCAGAAGGAUCAAUUGCUGCAGGUUACUUGGCAGAGGAGUGUAUGACUUUCUGUUCUAGAUAUUUAGAAGAUGUUGAAACAAGACUGAAUAUACCAAGUAGAAAUGUUGGGCUCACUAAUCGUAACUUAGCCGAAACUUAUUUAUUUCGAAGUUAUGGAGAACCAAUAUGUAAAGUUGAAAUUGCACACCUAGAUGAUAGAUCUUAGGUACAAGCACAUCGAUAUGUUCUUUUUCACCACGAUUUAAUUAAACUAUUAAUCAAGUAAGUUUUAGAAUUUGAUAAAUAUUCAUCUUUUUUAUUUGUUUAUCUUCUAACCAAGUAAUCCACUUUUUAACAUAGCGAGUACAAACAAGUCUCGAGAUCUCAUUCACGCUCCUGAAGAUUACAACAUCGAGAGAUUCAUAAGUUAUUCACAAAAUAUUUUCAUGAAUGGUUAUGGCAAAUGGUUUGGAGUGGAAAGGACAUCAAUGACGAAGUUAAAUGGCUUUGCCAAGGUCUGAAUAGAGUAAUAAAAAGAUAUAGUGCCUUCCUCAUCAAUGGAUUCAGGUUUCAUACAAAAUCUCGCGAAAGAUUGAGGAGGACUCAAAAUUGUAGAAUAGUUGUUAAUUCUUCAAUUACAAGUUAUGCUAAUGCUAGGGACAGUAAUCCUGCUGAGGGAAAUGUGGAGUAUUAUGGGCUUCUUACUGGCAGUAUUGAGUUGGAUUACUAUGGCAAACGGAAGGUUGUCUUAUUUUGAUGUGAUUGAGCUGAUGUUAAUAUUGCUCGUGAAAUUAAAAAAAAGAUCAAUUUGGUUUUACAAUGGUGAACUUCUCUCGAUUAAUUCACACUGGACAACAAUUGAUAGACGAGUUGUAUGUAUUUUAUUCUCAAGUGAAACAUGUUUUUUACUCGAAAGAUUCAACUAAUGAGGGUUGGUACGUUGUACUCCGUAACACCCCUAGAGACUUGUUUGACAUGGGCAAUAGAAGUAGAGAUGACAUCGGCGAAAGAUCAGAAACUUUACCUUUUCCAGAACAAAACUUAAAUGAAACUAUCCCUAGUAUUAGUACACAAUUUCAAUGGGUUCGCCAGGAUGUGGAUGAAAAUAUUUACGAAUUAUGAUGUAAUAAAAUGCCUAGAAGAAGAUUGUGAGAUCUAAGUAUUGUUCAAAAUCGUCCAAAUUCAGAAGAAACAAAUAGUGAACAACAGACUGCUAUUGGAUCUUCGAAUGCCCCGAAUACAGCUGACGAACCUGUAGAAAUUUAAACUGAAAGUGAUGGGACGCGCAAAACUCGAGGACGUACGCUAUUAAAAGAUUUAUACGAGUUAAAUUCUGUCGAGCAUUUCAAAGUACCUACAAACAGUCUUGGUCAGCCUAUUGGAUCAGCAGCUCGACUUUUAGCAGGAUACUUGGGCAUUAUAGCACGGAAUGCCAAUCUGUUGCCUAUUAACAACGAGUCAUGGCAUCAUAUGCUUGAUAGUAAAAAAAAUCAAGCUCUCGAUAAUAUUAAGGAGAGAUUUGCUUUAGAGGUCUCGGAUAAUUAUGUGAAGAAGGCAUUAGGAAAAAAUGGAGAGACCAUAAAAUUGCUUCAAAGAAGAAAUAUUUUAAGAAAAAUAUAAGCCUCGAAGAGAAAUUGCGAAAUGUCCUGCCAGGAAUGUUGAGGUACCAAUGGGAGGAUACAAUUAGAUUUUAGAAUUCAAAGAAAGGAGAGGAUCGUGAGCGAGUUGGAACUACAAGUAGGCAAAAACAAAAAUUCACGCACACAGUUGUGUCAAAAAGUUUUGCUUGUGUAGCUGAGGCCGAGGAACUGUCGUCUGGUCAAAAAGUUGGACGCUUUCAACCUUUUGACAUUACAAAUAGAAAGAAAGAUGGAUCUCCUAUGACUACUGAAGCUGCAGAAAUUAUGGAGAAACUAAAGGAUAAAAAGGAGCAGUAUGAAGUGGUCUCUUCGAGUGAUAGUUCUGUUAAUCUUGACGACAUUGAUAACCGAAUUAUUACUGAAGUUUUGGGUCCUGAAAGGUAUGGUCAGGUUCGAUUUCAAGGAUCUUUUGUUAACCAAACUCAAUAUUUUAGAUCCAGCUCGCAGCAAUACAUGUCUUCGGGGAGUCAGGCUCAAGCUGAAGUUCAGAGGUUAAGAGACCAGAUGGCUUAGAUGCAAGCGAGCACAGUUGAGCAAAUUUCUCAACUUAAAGCGGAGGUAGCAUCGAGAGAAGUAGAGGCUUAAAGAAAAUAUGAAGAAAUCCAGCUACAGCUUAAAGCAGAGGCAGCAGUGAGGGAAGCAGAGGCAGCAACGAGGGAAGUAAAGCAAAGAAGAAAAUAUGACGCACUCCAACUACAGCUUCAGAAUAUGAUGAAGAUGUUUCAGCAGUCGUAGAAUCCGCCAUCUUAUACGUUUGUUUUCUUAUUGUAAGAAUAUUUUAACAUUAUAACUUUUGAAAAAAAUAAAUUUUGUUGUUUCAUUUAUUAA